CAGGCCUAACACAUGCAAGUCGAACGGCAGCGCGGGAGCAAUCCUGGCGGCGAGUGGCGAACGGGUGAGUAAUAUAUCGGAACGUGCCCAUUAGUGGGGGAUAGCCCGGCGAAAGCCGGAUUAAUACCGCAUACGACCUGAGGGUGAAAGCGGGGGAUCGCAAGGCCUCGCGCUAUUGGAGCGGCCGAUAUCAGAUUAGCUAGUUGGUGGGGUAAAGGCCUACCAAGGCAACGAUCUGUAGUUGGUCUGAGAGGACGACCAGCCACACUGGGACUGAGACACGGCCCAGACUCCUACGGGAGGCAGCAGUGGGGAAUUUUCCGCAAUGGGCGAAAGCCUGACGGAGCAAUGCCGCGUGGAGGUGGAAGGCCUACGGGUCGUCAACUUCUUUUCUCGGAGAAGAAACAAUGACGGUAUCUGAGGAAUAAGCAUCGGCUAACUCUGUGCCAGCAGCCGCGGUAAU
rnacentral:rRNA from 1 species